GGGGGCGUGGUGUAGCCUGGCCUAUCAUCGCGGGCUCCAGACCCGCGGACCGGGGUUCAAAUCCCCGCGCCCCCACCA
rnacentral:tRNA from 1 species